AGCUUCAGGUGCUGGUGACCUUACGGUCGUGGAAGUUCGAGUCUUCU
rnacentral:tRNA from 1 species